rnacentral:rRNA from 1 species
UCCCAGCCGCCGCGGUAAUACGUAGGGGGCAAGCGUUAUCCGGAAUCAUUGGGCGUAAAGGGUGCGUAGGCGGCCCUAUAGGUCAGAGGUCAAAGGCUACGGCUCAACCGUAGUAAGCCUUUGAAACUGUAGGGCUUGAGUGCAGGAGAGGAGAGUGGAAUUCCUAGUGUAGCGGUGAAAUGCGUAGAUAUUAGGAGGAACACCAGUGGCGAAGGCGACUCUCUGGACUGCAACUGACGCUGAGGCACGAAAGCGUGGGGAGCGAACAGGAUUAGAUACCCUGGUAGUCCACGCCGUAAACGAUGAGUGCUAGGUGUCGGGGGUCGAACCUCGGUGCCGCAGUUAACGCAUUAAGCACUCCGCCUGGGGAGUACGUACGCAAGUAUGAAACUCAAAGGAAUUGACGGGGACCCGCACAAGCAGCGGAGCACGUGGUUUAAUUCGAAGCAACGCGAAGAACCUUACCUGGACUUGACAUCCCUCGGACAGCUUUUUAACAGAAGCCUUCCCUUCGGGGACUGAGGUGACAGGUGGUGCAUGGUUGUCGUCAGCUCGUGUCGUGAGAUGUUGGGUUAAGUCCCGCAACGAGCGCAACCCUUGUCUUUAGUUGCCAGCAUUAAGUUGGGCACUCUAGAGAGACUGCCGGGGAUAACUCGGAGGAAGGUGGGGAUGACGUCAAAUCAUCAUGCCCCUUAUGUUCAGGGCUACACACGUGCUACAAUGGCCGAUACAACGGGCAGCCAAGGAGUAAUCCGGAGCGAAUCCUAUAAAAUCGGUCCCAGUUCGGAUUGUGGGCUGAAACUCGCCCACAUGAAGUUGGAGUUGCUAGUAAUCGCGGAUCAGAAUGUCGCGGUGAAUGCGUUCCCGGGUCUUGUACACACCGCCCGUCACACCACGGGAGUUGGAAGCACCCGAAGCCAGCUAUCUAACCGUAAGGAGGAAGCUGUCGAAGGUGAAGCUAAUGACUGGGGUGAAGUCGUAACAAGGUAACC